rnacentral:rRNA from 1 species
GUGGGGAAUCUUCCGCAAUGGACGAAAGUCUGACGGAGCAACGCCGCGUGAGUGAAGAAGGUUUUCGGAUCGUAAAGCUCUGUUGUUUGAGACGAACGUGCAAUUUUUGAAUAAGGAAUUGUAAUGACGGUAUUAAACGAGAAAGCCACGGCUAACUACGUGCCAGCAGCCGCGGUAAUACGUAGGUGGCAAGCGUUGUCCGGAAUUAUUGGGCGUAAAGGGAGCGCAGGUGGGAAAGUCAGUCGAUUUUAAAAGUGCGGGGCUCAACCCCGUGAGGGAAUCGAAACUACUUUUCUUGAGUGCAGGAGAGGAAAGCGGAAUUCCUAGUGUAGCGGUGAAAUGCGUAGAUAUUAGGAGGAACACCAGUGGCGAAGGCGGCUUUCUGGACUGUAACUGACACUGAGGCUCGAAAGCCAGGGGAGCGAACGGGAUUAGAUACCCCGGUAGUCC